rnacentral:sRNA from 1 species
UAACGUUCUGAGGUGGGGGAAAGUCAA